UAGGGUAAAUAAAUCAAAAACCCCCUUUUUUCCUAUCUCCCCCUGCAAUCGAAACCCCCCUGGAUUUUUUUAAAUUUUGCAACGCAGCAUCCGAAACUGGUCUAUGGAAAAGUGGGAGGGUUUUAAGUUUGGCUUCAUAGUAGGUGGCGCCUUGACCACUGCUGUAUAUUUUCAAGACAUCUAGGGGAGAAAUAACUAACUCCAUAGAAUUUUUAUGGCCAUGUCAGCUGUCCCGUCAGCUGUUCCAUUUUGCGUGGGAUCGGAUUGAUGGUGGAUUAAACGUACGUCUCUGUUCUUGAAAUUUCACCACCAAUUCCGUGCGUUUUGAGCUGCAUCUUAUGAAUUCAAUCAAUGCAAAGUUAUUCAAGGAGGACCAUGGUUUGGCUUUGCUAGCACGUUUUUCAUCUCUGUUAGUCUUAUACACCCAUUUUGUACCAAAGGUGAUAUGUAAAAAAAGUAGUUCUUAAUAAUUUAUUUCCCUAUCUAAAUCUCUUAGCUUCUUAGAGGUGUCAUCAGGUGACCCCUGCAUCAACUUUAAAUCUCCCUUUAAAUUGAUUUGCCUCAAUUUUAGGUCUAUUUCUACGUUAAAAUUAUUGUUAAUAGUUUAAGGUUUUGUAAUUGUGCUUUCAGGUCUUCGGGAUGUACUGAUGUACUCUGGUGGCCACAAUCUCCUUUAGUCUUAUACACCCAUCUUGUACCAAAGGUGAUACGUAAAAAAAGUAGUUCUUUACAAUCUAUUUCCCUAUCUAAAUCUCUUAGAUUCUUGGAGAUCUCAUCAGGUGAUGUUAGAAUUUAUUGAUUAAUAGUUUCAGGUUUUGUUAUUGUGCUUUUAGUUCUUCGGGAUGUACUAAUGUACUGUGGUGGCCACAAAAUCAUUCAGUGACUUGGUUCAAUCCAGGAUUUGGUUUUUUCGAAAGUGGUAUACAGUUGUAUUUUGCAGAGAUCCUGGAGGUACCUGAUUUGUUGCAUUAGCGUUGGAGUCGCUCGGUGAGAGAAUGGAAUGCAACCAAUGUUAUGUUGUCAGUGUAAAUAAAACAUAUCCAGUUUCA